rnacentral:rRNA from 1 species
AGCGAACGCUGGCGGCGUGCUUAACACAUGCAAGUCGAGCGAAUUCUAACAGCGUAUCGUUAGAGUUAGCGGCAGACGGGUGAGUAAUACUUGGGCAAUCUGCCCUUAAGAGGGAAAACAACCUGCCGAAAGGCGGGCUAAUGUUCCAUAAGACCACAGGAUGGGCAUCAUCCAGGGGUUAAAGCUCCGCAAGGGGGCGCUUGAGGAGGAGCCCGAGUCCUAGUCANGGUAGUUGGUGAGGUAAUGGCUCACCAAGCCGUUGACGGGUAGCCGACCUGAAAGGGUGACCGGCCACACUGGCACUGAGACACGGGCCAGACUCC